rnacentral:lncRNA from 1 species
AUGGAAGAAGACCGGCCUGGCUCAACAGAGUUGCAGCUUGAGCUUAGGAGAAAAAAGAGGGUUUAUAAUCUUUGGAAAAGAGGGCAAGCCACUAGGGAGGACUAUAAGGAUGUUGCGAGGCUGUGCAGGGACAAAAUUAGACAGGCCAAAGCUCAUCUGGAGCUCAAUCCGGCUACUGCUGUUAAAGACAACAAAAAAUGUUUUUACAAAUACAUCAACGCAAAAUGGAGGACUAAGGAGAAUCUCAAUCCUUUACUGGAUGCAGGGGGAAACUUAGUUACAAGAGAUGAGGAAAAGGCGGAGGUGCUUAAUGCCUUUUUCACCUUAAUCUUUAGCAGCAAAACCAGUUGUUCUCUGGAUACCCAGAACCCUGAGCUGGCAGAAGGGGAUGGGGAGCAGAAUGUGACCCUCACUAUCCAUGAGGAAAUGCUUGGUGACCUGGUAUGGCACUUGGAUGUACACAAGUCGAUGGGGCUGGAUGGGAUCCACCCAAGGGUACUGAGAGAACUGGCGGAGGAGCUGGCCAAGCCACUUUCCAUCAUUUAUCAACAGUCCUGGCUAUCGGGGGAGGUCCCAGUCGACUGGAGGCUAGCAAAUGUGACGCCCGUCUACAAGAAGGGCCGGAGGGUAGAUCCAGGGAGCUAUAGGCCUGUCAGUUUGACCUCAGUGCCAGGGAAGCUCAUGGAGCAGAUUAUAUUGAGUGUUAUCAUGCAGCACCUGUAUGUCAACUGUAUGAAGUUGGCCUUUAACAAGGCCAAGUGCCGGGUCCUGCACCUGGGGUGCAAUAACCCCAAGCAGAGCUACAGGCUGGGAGAUGAGUGGUUGGAAAGCUGCCUGGCAGAGAAGGACCUGGGAGUAUUGGUUGAUAGUAGGCUGAACGUGAGCCAGCAGUGUGCUCAGGUGGCCAAGAAGGCCAACAGCAUCCUGGCUUGUAUAAGAAGCAGUGUAGCCAGCAGGGCUAGGGAAGUGAUUGUCCCCCUGUACUCAGCUCUGGUGAGGCCGCACCUCGAGUACUGUGUUCAGUUUUGGGCCCCUCACUACAAGAAGGACUUUGAGGUGCUCGAGCGAGUCCACUGA